rnacentral:rRNA from 1 species
UACGAAGGGUGCAAGCGUUACUCGGAAUUACUGGGCGGUAAAGGGUGCGUAGGUGGUCGUUUAAGUCCGUUGUGAAAUCCCUGGGCUCAACCUGGGAAUGGCAGUGGAUACUGGACGGCUAGAAUGCGGUAGAGGGUAGUGGAAUUCCCGGUGUAGCAGUGAAAUGCGUAGAGAUCGGGAGGAACACCAGUGGCGAAGGCGGCUACCUGGACACAUAUUGACGCUGAGGUGCGAAAGCGUGGGGAGCAAACAGGG